GAAUAAGCCUCGGCUAACUCCGUGCCAGCAGCCGCGGUAAUACGGAGGAGGCAGCGUAUCCGGAAUGAUUGGGCGUAAAGAGUCCGUAGGUGGUUGUGCAAGUCUGCUGUAAAGACAGUGGCUUAACUACUGAAAAGCAGUGGAAACUGAACAACUAGAGGGCGGUAGGGGCAGAGGGAAUUCCCGGUGUAGCGGUGAAAUGCGUAGAUAUCGGGAAGAACACCAGUGGCGAAAGCGCUCUGCUGGACCGCAACUGACACUGAGGGACGAAAGCUAGGGGAGCGAAUGGGAUUAGAUACCCCAGUAGUCCUAGCCGUAAACGAUG
rnacentral:rRNA from 1 species